rnacentral:lncRNA from 1 species
UUGGUUUUUUGUCCUUGUGAUAGUUUGCUCAGAAUGAUGGUUUCCAGCUUCAUCCAUGUCCCUGCAAAGGACAUGAACUCAUCCUUUUUUAUGGCUGCAUAGUAUUCCAUAAAAGUAUACCACAUUUUCUUAAUCCAGUCUAUCAUUGUUGGACAUCUGGGUUGGUUCCAAGUCUUUGCUAUUGUGAAUAGUGCCGCAGUAAACAUACGUGUGCAUGUGUCUUUACAGCAGCAUGAUUUAUAAUCCUUUGGGUAUAUACCCACUAAUGGGAUGGCUGGGUCAAAUGGUAUCUCUAGUUCUAGAUCCCUGAGGAAUUGCCACACUGUCUUCCACAAUGGUUGAACUAGUUUACAGUCCCACCAACAGUGUAAAAGUAUUCCUAUUUCUCCACAUCCUCUCCAGCACCUGUUGUUUCCUGACUUUUUAAUGAUAGCCAUUCUAACUGGUGUCUCAAAUAAAUAAACCUCUGGACUGAUUUUUUUUUUAAAGACAGUGGAGCAAUGUUUUAAAAGUACUAAAUAAAACAAAAACAAAAGCAGUCAAUCUAUCCCACAAUAAUCCUGAAAGGUAGGAAUUGAAAGCUGUAUUACAGACAGGAAAGCGACCAGUUUACACUGAUCAAAGGAGGAAGGAUCACAACAAAAACU